rnacentral:SRP_RNA from 1 species
GCCAGGCAUGGUGGCAUGUGCCUGUAGUCCCAGCUACUCAGGAAGCUGAGGUGGGAGGAUUGCUUGAGCCCAGGAGUUCUGUGUAGUGCACUAUGCCGAUCAGGUGUCCACACUAAGUUCGGCAUCAAUAUGGUGACCUCCUGGGAGCGGGGGACCACCAGGUUACCUAAGGAGGGGUGAACCAGCCCAGGUCAGAAAUGGAGCAGGUCAAAACUGUGCUGAUCAGUAGUGGGGAUCGCGCCUAUAAAUAGCCACUGCACUCCAGCCUGGGCAACGUAGUGAAACCCCGUCUCUU